UACAGAGGGCUCAAGCGUUGUUCGGAUUCAUUGGGCGUAAAGGGUGUGUAGGCGGCGCCGUAAGUCGGGUGUGAAAUUUCGGAGCUUAACUCCGAAACUGCAUUCGAUACUGCGGGGCUUGAGGACUGGAGAGGAGACUGGAAUUCAUGGUGUAGCAGUGAAAUGCGUAGAGAUCAUGAGGAAGACCAGUGGCGAAGGCGGGUCUCUGGACAGUUCCUGACACUGAGACACGAAGGCCAGGGGAGCAAACGGG
rnacentral:rRNA from 1 species